rnacentral:rRNA from 1 species
AUAGGUUUAGGGCACUGGAAGGUCCCUAAACCGAAAGGGNNUCUGCCCGCCCGAGGAUGGGCCGGCGGCCGAUUAGGUAGUUGGUGGGGUAACGGCCCACCAAGCCCAUAAUCGGUACGGGCAGUGAGAGCUGGAGCCCGGAGAUGGACACUGAGACACGGGUCCAGGCCCUACGGGGCGCAGCAGGCGCGAAACCUCCGCAAUGCUCGAAAGAGCGACGGGGGGACCCCAAGUGCCGUGGUACAACCACGGCUUUUCCGGAGUGUAAGAAGCUCCGGGAAUAAGGGCUGGGCAAGGCCGGUGGCAGCCGCCGCGGUAAUACCGGCGGCCCGAGUGGUGGCCACUAUUAUUGGGCCUAAAGCGUCCGUAGCCGGGCUUGUAAGUCCCUGGCGAAAUCCCACGGCUCAACCGUGGGGCUUGCUGGGGAUACUGCAAGCCUUGGGACCGGGAGAGGCCGGGGGUACUCCUGGGGUAGGGGUGAAAUCCUAUAAUCCCAGGAGGACCGCCAGUGGCGAAGGCGCCCGGCUGGAACGGGUCCGACGGUGAGGGACGAAGGCCAGGGGAGCAAACCGGAUUAGAUACCCGGGUAGUCCUGGCUGUAAAGGAUGCGGGCUAGGUGUUGCUUGGACCUCGAGUCCAAG